CAGUCGCCGCGGUAAUACGUAGGUGGCAAGCGUUAUCCGGAAUUAUUGGGCGUAAAGCGCGCGUAGGCGGUUUUUUAAGUCUGAUGUGAAAGCCCACGGCUCAACCGUGGAGGGUCAUUGGAAACUGGAAAACUUGAGUGCAGAAGAGGAAGGUGGAAUUCCAUGUGUAGCGGUGAAAUGCGCAGAGAUAUGGAGGAACACCAGUGGCGAAGGCGACUUUCUGGUCUGUAACUGACGCUGAUGUGCGAAAGCGUGGGGAUCAAACAGGAUUAGAUACCCGAGUAGUCCCUGUCUCUUAUAC
rnacentral:rRNA from 1 species